rnacentral:rRNA from 1 species
AGAGUUUGAUCCUGGCUCAGAACGAACGCUGGCGGCGCGCCUAAUACAUGCAAGUCGAGCGAGAAGGUGUAGCAAUACACUUGUAAAGCGGCGAACGGGUGAGGAAUGCAUGGGUAACCUACCCUCGAGUGGGGAAUAACUAGCCGAAAGGUUAGCUAAUACCGCAUACGUUUCCGGGACUUCGGUUCCGGAAAGAAAGCAAUACCGUGGGUAUUGCGCUCAUGGAUGGGCUCAUGUCCUAUCAGCUUGUUGGUGAGGUAACGGCUCACCAAGGCUUCGACGGGUAGCUGGUCUGAGAGGACGAUCAGCCACACUGGCACUGCGACACGGGCCAGACUCCUACGGGAGGCAGCAGUAAGGAAUAUUGCGCAAUGGACGAAAGUCUGACGCAGCGACGCCGCGUGGGGGAUGAAGGUCUUCGGAUUGUAAACCCCUUUCGGGAGGGAAGAUGGAGUGGGUAACCACUUGGACGGUACCUCCAGAAGCAGCCACGGCUAACUUCGUGCCAGCAGCCGCGGUAAUACGGAGGAUCCAAGCGUUAUCCGGAAUCAUUGGGUUUAAAGGGUCCGUAGGCGGUUUGGUAAGUCAGUGGUGAAAGCCCGCAGCUCAACUGUGGAACGGCCAUUGAUACUGCCAGACUUGAAUUACAAGGAAGUAACUAGAAUAUGUAGUGUAGCGGUGAAAUGCUUAGAUAUUACAUGGAAUACCAAUUGCGAAGGCAGGUUACUACUUGUGGAUUGACGCUGAUGGACGAAAGCGUGGGGAGCGAACAGGAUUAGAUACCCUGGUAGUCCAA